CACACAGUGAACACUGCCAUUGUUUGCUCAUGACACUGUGAAUACUGCCAUUGGCAUGCGACCACUUCCCAGCCCUGUGACCAGUGCAAGUUUUGACCGCACCCAGUGGGAGGGCUCUUAAAUUCAGCAACCAGCCUUCUGGCAGGGACUACUUCGUGAGUUCAUGGGCAUGUGCAGUGAGAUAUAGUGAGGUCUACUAGGGGUAGAGAAGCCUACCUCAUAUUGGACAUCUGGGAACACAGGCUUCCCUGUUGCUCAUGAGGACUAGCUCAGUGUCUAUGCAGGUGCCCUGGCUUGUCCCUUGGAGUCCAUGGACCUCUAAAUUGCAUGUGACCAGGCAGAGAUUGCCCACGGAUGACCUCCUAUAUUCUGGCUUGCUGCAUGGAUAACUUCAUUGUCUUGCGUUUCUGCUUUCCUGGUAAGUCCCAGGAGGGCUAUUGGAGAUAGGCUAAGAAUAACCCAGAACUAUAGAGCAGCUGACAUAUGAUGGUCAGAACUUUGGACAAGGGGAGUUAAGAAUCCAUGGAUACAUUCUUCUCCCUUCUUUUCCCCAAGGUGACUAUUUAAAAAGAAUAAAAAUCCUUACAGACAUUUGGAAGACACACCAUAGUCUGAGCAGUCAGUCACACUUUUUUUCUUUUUCAAUGUUUAUUUACU